CGGUGAUCGCACCAUGGCGGGAGCUGGUGUGUCGCGGUGCGGUGCUCGGAGCCGGGUUCCCGGGUUCUCGGCAUCCGCUGCCAUCAGGCCCCCAGGCAGCACCCGUUCCUUCUUGAUCCCAAGUGGGCGUCGCGGCCAGGUGGACCGUCCCACGGAGCGGCGGGGCCGACUGCGGGGCGGCUCUGCUGGAAGAUGACCCGUUUCAGGAGCAGUCGCUGGGUCUGGCACUGGGGAAGCCGUCUCAGUCUCCAGUUUCUUCGUC